CUAGCCAAACACCGGGUUACCAUCCGGGCUCUCGGGCGCCCCCUACUGAACGUUUUUGCCUCUGUAUCUAGCACCUGCCUGGCUUCAGAGAACCCAGUCCCAUAACGGUGUUUUGCUCCCUUCACCUCAGGAACACCUUUGUAUAGAGAGAGCACAGAUCCAGCCUUCAGAUCGGCUUUAAUUUCCGUCUCUCCUUGUGAAUUUGGGCAAGCUGCCAAUCUCAUUGAGCCUGAUGGCCUCUACCCGAAGAAUACCUGAACUCAACUAUCUGAGAGAGGAAGGCUGGCCCUUGGUCAAGGCAAGAAAAGUGUAAAAAUGUCUUAAAUGGACUGCCCUACCGUACUCCUCGCCCAUGAUGUAGAUUUAUAGUAAGUGCCACACAGGUCUGCGGCGUUGAAUAGGUGAAUGAAGAUGCACAAGACUUCAGUGGUUUCUAAUGCGCAGAAGUCACCUAUUGUACUUACGAUCUUGCAGAGAGCAACCACUGACCCUAUUUCAGCAUACCAAAGCCUCCGGUGGAUAUACAAGACAGGUAAUAAUAUGUCUCACUUCUUUCAUGACAUCAGUCACCUGGAGGACAGCACUGUGGUCAUUGUUACAGGCCUUUUCUGGAUCCUUCCAAAAGAUGCAGCUGCCAAGGCAAAGAACUCGUUCACACGUAGCAGAUGAGGGCAGACUGGCAUGGGAAGUCAGACAAGGCACAGAAGAUGGAUCUCAGGUGACAU
rnacentral:lncRNA from 1 species